rnacentral:tRNA from 1 species
UGGGAUGUCGUCUAAUGGUAGGACACCGGUCUCUGGAUCCGUUUGUCGGGGUUCGAAUCCCUGCAUCCCAGCCA